rnacentral:lncRNA from 1 species
UUCUUGUCUUCUGCUAGCUUUCAGGUUAAUUUCCCUUGUUUCUCUAGUUCCUCUAGUUGUGAUGUUGGUUUGUUAAAUCGAGAUCUUUCUAAAGUUUUGAUGUGGAUACUUAGUAGUGUAAACUUCCCUCUUAACAUGCUUUGGCUGUUUCCCAGAGCUUCUGGUAUGUUUAUCCUUUUUCUCUCAUUCAUUUCAAAGAAUUUCUUGAAUCCUGCCUUAAUUUCAUUAUUUACCUAGAAGUAGGUCUUCUUGUUGAAUCAAGCCCUUUACCAUUACAUAAUGCUCUUGUCUUUUUUUUAAUCUCUGUUAUUUUAAAGUCUGUUUCUUCUGAAAUUAGAACAGCAACCCCUGCUUUUCUCUGUUUUCCAUUUGCUUGGUCGAUUUUUCUUCAUCCCUCUACUUUGAGCCUAUGGGUGUUAUUUCAUGUACAAUGGGCCUCUCGAAGACAGCGUACCACUGGGUUUUGCAUCUUUAUCCAACUUGCCAACUCUGUGU